UACGUAGGGGGCAAGCGUUGUCCGGAUUUAUUGGGCGUAAAGAGCGUGUAGGCGGCUAGGUAGGUCCGUUGUGAAAACUCGAGGCUCAACCUCGAGACGCCGAUGGAAACCAUCUAGCUAGAGUCCGGAAGAGGAGAGUGGAAUUCCUGGUGUAGCGGUGAAAUGCGCAGAUAUCAGGAAGAACACCCGUGGCUAAGGCGGCUCUCUAGUACGGUACUGACGCUGAGACGCGAAAGCGUGGGGGAGCAAACAGG
rnacentral:rRNA from 1 species